rnacentral:rRNA from 1 species
UCCGUAGGUGAACCUGCGGAGGAUCAUUACUGAGUUACGCUCUACAACCCUUUGUGAACAUACCUACAACUGUUGCUUCGGCGGGUAGGGUCUCCGCGACCCUCCCGGCCUCCCGCCUCCGGGCGGGUCGGCGCCCGCCGGAGGAUAACCAAACUCUGAUUUAACGACGUUUCUUCUGAGUGGUACAAGCAAAUAAUCAAAACUUUUAACAACGGAUCUCUUGGUUCUGGCAUCGAUGAAGAACGCAGCGAAAUGCGAUAAGUAAUGUGAAUUGCAGAAUUCAGUGAAUCAUCGAAUCUUUGAACGCACAUUGCGCCCGCCAGCAUUCUGGCGGGCAUGCCUGUUCGAGCGUCAUUUCAACCCUCAAGCUCUGCUUGGUGUUGGGGCCCUACAGCCGAUGUAGGCCCUCAAAGGUAGUGGCGGACCCUCCCGGAGCCUCCUUUGCGUAGUAACUUUACGUCUCGCACUGGGAUCCGGAGGGACUCUUGCCGUAAAACCCCCCAACUUUCCAAAGGUGACCUCGGAUCAGGUAGCAUGCCCCGAU